rnacentral:rRNA from 1 species
AACGAACGCUGGCGGCAUGCCUAACACAUGCAAGUCGAACGAGACCUUCGGGUCUAGUGGCGCACGGGUGCGUAACGCGUGGGAACCUGCCCUUAGGUUCGGAAUAACUCCCCGACAGGGGUGCUAAUAGCGGAUAAUGUCUUCGAACCAAAGAUUUAUCGCCUUUGGAUGGGCCCGCGUUGGAUUAGCUAGUUGGUAGGGUAAAAGCCUACCAAGGCGACGAUCCAUAGCUGGUCUGAGAGGAUGAUCAGCCACACUGGGACUGAGACACGGCCCAGACUCCUACGGGAGGCAGCAGUGGGGAAUAUUGGAAAAUGGGCGAAAGCAUGAUCCAGCAAUGCCGCGUGAGUGAUGAAGGCCUUAGGGUUGUAAAGCUCUUUUACCCGGGAUGAUAAUGACAGUACCGGGAGAAUAAGCUCCGGCUAACUCCGUG